UAAAUGCAAGUAGUAGUAUCAAAAGGAGUACUACUUUUUAGUGGUAGUGCCUUUGCAGUGGUGGUGUUUUAUAGAUUAUGGUGGAAGAGAAAUCAAGUUGAAAGGACCCAGAUG
rnacentral:ribozyme from 1 species